rnacentral:lncRNA from 1 species
CAGAGAGUCGACGUUCGACAAUUUCGCGAGAAUAGAACGAGUCGCCUUAGCGCGGGUGCGGCCACCGCAGACCGGAGGUCCUGGAGACCACUGCGAAAGACGGGAAACGGUUUACAACAAAUGAGAGAAAUGGAAAAAGGAACUGAGUUUGCCGGCGGGUGAAUCGCCUCGUUUGCGUGCAAAGAUCAGGCCGGAGGGAACGUGCCGUCCUCUCCGAGUGUCAAGAUGCAGCUUCCUUUUCCUGCUGGGGUUCUUCUCUCUCACGGUUCUUCUUCUGCCUUUGUUUUUCUCGCUCGCGUCUUCGUUAGGACCUCUCUCGAAAACCGUGUGUUAUCGCGUGUCAUGUGAGUUUGCAAACCCGCGUUUCCCCCUUUUUUCCCCGCCACGUCACCCUGUCGCUCACGGAAGAAUCCGCGGCGCUGGGAAGGAGGCUCGGCAGCGCCGUGCUCGGUCUGGGUUUGGGCCGCUCCGUUGAGUUACUGGCACUAGCAGGCUUUUCGGGUAGAUCUCGACUUCCCACGCCUCGAGCGCUGAAACACCUGAGCUCUGGGACGGCGAAGGCGCCGUCCCCACCGGCGAGACUUUGGGAGAACAGCUGCACGUUUCUUCUCGCGCAGGCCUUGAGGAAUCUGGUGGGACCUAAGCGAAGCUCCAUGCGCAGGCGCGCGUUCUCUUCCAUCAGCCCGUACAUGUUUUGGUUUUCUUGUUUCAGCAGCUUCACAGUUCUUUUGAGCGACGCUAGGCUCGGUUGCUCGGCCUCCUGGGGGACCUCCUCCCAAGCGAGGUGUUCAUCGGGUCCACUUCCGAAAAACUCCUCUGCUGUGUCGCUCUCAUCCCCGGGUUCGGCUCGUAAGCUGUCGGCGGGACUGGCUGCUUCUCGAGAGGCGAAACGCGCUCGGCGAGAGGCGACGUGAGUGGCGAGGGACUCCCGAGCCUCUGGGGUCUGCGCCUCAAGGCGGGGGCAUUUUGCGGGGCUGCCCGGCGAAAGACCGUGACGAGGCGAUCGCGACGAGGCAUACCGAUAUCCGUGAUCAGAGGCCUCCUCUUGCUCUCUUCGUCGUUUGGAACUACAGGCAAGGGCUUUGGUAUCGGAACUUUUUUCCUGCGUGAGGAUCUUGAGGCGAGAAACGGGGACGCCGUCAAGCCGGCAGAGUGUGGGGCAACACUGCAGCAGCAGAUCAAGCUUGUCCUUUGAGUCUUGGAGCGAGGAGGAGACAGCGGAAGAAGAACGGGAUCCAUUCCUUGCGCCUUCCUGUGCAAAGUGGUUUCGUCGGUCUUCUUUUUCUGGACCGCAACUUGUCCCUCCAGGGGGUUCCCCUUCUCCAUCAGUAGGCUCGCCGUCGGCUGAUGCAGCCGAGGAGAUGAACGGAUUCGCGUCCAGGUCAAGUUCGAGGAGACAGGGAAGAUGAGAGAUUUCGUUCGCGAGAGAAGAGAACGGCCCGCGAAGACAGUUCUGGAACAGACUCAAAAUUUCGAGACGUUGACAAUUCCGAACUCCCGUAAUGCAACGAACGAAAUUGUGCGCGGCCCAGAGACGGCGGAGAGCCUUGCAGGAAAAGAUAGGCGAGAGAUCCGUAAUUCUGUUGAAGGAAAGGUUGACAUCUGUCAGUGUUGGCGCCAGGACCAGAAGAGGCGUGAUGUCCGUUAUCAUGUUGUGAGAAAGCGAGAGAGAUGACAGCGCUUUGAAGGCCUGCCAGUUACAAGCGCCUUUUGCCGUGUCUAGGGUGGUGAGUUUCUGCCCACGCGCAACGAGAAUUUCAACUUCCUCAUGCCUUUCGUCCCCUAUCAGUUUCUGAACUGUUGACUCCCCAAGGGGCCGCUCCUUGUCUUUGUCUUCGUCCGAUGAGUCCAGGAGUGCGUCCCCGUUGUCGAAAGUGGCUAACUCAGGAAAGAGCAGAUUCGCGUACGUUUUACUCUCCAUGCCCAAGAGGCGCGAAGCAGCGAACCCGUCAGUGGAAGCAGUGCCUUUCCCAGGUUUUAGGGUACCUUGCGGACUGUCUGAUUUCGAUGACACUCCUACAGAGGUCAGCGGCAGUGAGUGGGCCGAGUGGGUGUGUGACACAUGUGAAGAGACGGUUUUGUGAUGACUUGUCUUUUCCUCGCCUUUUCCGCUGAUUUCCAAACUGCUUUCCAUCUCGACCUCUGAGAACUCGAGCGCCUCUUCGAGCGACUUGGGCAUCCUCGGUUUUCCCCCAGCUUCACUGCCGCGCGCUAUUGCUGCGUCGGCACGCAGACUCGGCUGGACAUGAGCGGCUGGAACUGCCUGAACAGAGGGACAUGUGCGACCCUUGCCUAAACACGUAAGUGCGCUUGCGCCGUGUUCGCCUCGGACGGCACUUGCUAAGAAAUAAGGUUCGCCAUCGUCAGCAUGUGCUUGAGAAGCAGGCGCCUCACUGAUUCUCGGUUCUCCCUCCGAACGACAACCUUCGACCAAUGAGACUGUUAAGGCGCCUGCAGGUACGGUCUUCUCCCGGGGGGAAGCAUGUGACGGAGAGGAGAUCGACCUCGUGCCUCGAUUCGAUGCACUUGCCACAGGCUCGGUCGCAGAGCUGGCAGGCAAUUCCGCCGAAAAACCAGGAGCCCCACUCACUCGGACGGCCCGCUGCGAAUUCCUUUUCCUGUCUAAAGCAGGCGGAGAGCUGCCGAGAGGUGCUGGCACUUCAUGCGACGAAGGCAUUGCGGACAUUCGGAACGAAGACACCGGAUUGCCGCACGCCUUUUGCGCAGCCGGUUCCUCAGAAUAAUGGGACAUUUUUGUCUUUUGCAUGUUCAGAGGAAUUUCUCGUGACUCACAUCUUGUUCGGAACUGCCCCGUCUUGGACAGGUUGGCGCUAAACGUGGCUUAAAUCUGACACAACGUGACUGACCUCGAGCGGGGCUCGGGACAGCGUGUUUACAAAGGACCAGCCGAGGCCACGAUUUUCUGCCAACCCAGGUAGGCUUCCAAAGGGUCACAGAGAAGACUUUAACAUGCGGAAGUAAUGCUGGAUAGCAGUAUUUUGAAGAUGUAAGUGCGACACUUCAUGCAACGGGACCCGCGGCUUUUGUUCUUUUGCAUAUGCCACGUCUGAAGGACCCGAGAGAACUACGAAAAAAAACAAACCUUUUCAAGUCAUUAAGGGAG